CGUUCUAUUAAAUAUUUAGGAGUGUAUAUUGAUUAUCAACUAAAAUGGAACAUUAAUCUUAUAAACAAUGUUCAAAAAUUUGUUUAUAUUUUUAGUAUUCUGAGGAAUAUUUUAUCACCUAAUCAACAUUAAUAGUAAAAUAAUUUGCUGCAUGGAUGAUACAGCCUUGUUAUAUUUUGAUAACACUUCUUUAGAUAGGCUUUAUGACAAAGCUAAUGAAGGUUUAUCAUUAGUUAAAAAGUGGUUCUUAACUUCUAGCUUGGUUCAGUCUGUAUUUACUUACCUUUUAGGUAAGUAGAUAGAUUAGGUAAGAAGCUCUUAGAAUAUACAAACUAAUAAAUUAAAUACUACCAUUUAAUUUCAUUUUUUUCAAACCAAGACUAUACCCUAGUAAUAGUACCUACAAAGAUUCUUCAUAAUUUAAAUGCAUUACGGUAUACCUUAAACAUGUAUACACAUUUAUGUUUAAUCACAAAGCUAUUAUUGAAAUUUCUGCACAUAACUAUAAUACAAGAUUUAAUUAUUUAAUUGGUAUUAUUACUCUAACAAAUUUUAAUAGAUUUUAUAUUUUAUUUAUAUUGUGUUAAAUAUUAUAAUUAUAACUCCUAUU